AUACGGGAGUGGCAAGCGUUAUCCGGAAUUAUUGGGCGUAAAGCGUCCGCAGGCGGUCUUGAAAGUCUGUUGUUAAAGCGUGGAGCUCAACUCCAUUUCAGCAAUGGAAACUAGAAGACUAGAGUGUGGUAGGGGCAGAGGGAAUUCCCGGUGUAGCGGUGAAAUGCGUAGAUAUCGGGAAGAACACCAGUGGCGAAGGCGCUCUGCUGGGCCAUAACUGACGCUCAUGGACGAAAGCCAGGGGAGCGAAAGGGAUUAGAUACCCCUGUAGUCCUGGCCGUAAACGAUGAACACUAGGUGUCGGGGGAAUCGACCCCCUCGGUGUCGUAGCCAACGCGUUAAGUGUUCCGCCUGGGGAGUACGCACGCAAGUGUGAA
rnacentral:rRNA from 1 species